GGUGGUGUGGUUCAGAAGGCAGAGUACCUGCCUAGAAAGCACAAGGCUUUCAGUUUAAAUCUCAGUACUGCCA
rnacentral:tRNA from 1 species